rnacentral:rRNA from 1 species
GAUGAACGCUGGCGGCGUGCCUAAUACAUGCAAGUCGAGCGAACAGAUGGGGAGCUUGCUCCUCUGACGUUAGCGGCGGACGGGUGAGUAACACGUGGAUAACCUACCUAUAAGACUGGGAUAGCUUCGGGAAACCGGAGCUAAUACCGGAUAAUAUAUUGAACCGCAUGGUUCAAUAGUGAAAGACGGUUUUGCUGUCACUUAUAGAUGGAUCCGCGCCGCAUUAGCUAGUUGGUAAGGUAACGGCUUACCAAGGCAACGAUGCGUAGCCGACCUGAGAGGGUGAUCGGCCACACUGGAACUGAGACACGGUCCAGACUCCUACGGGAGGCAGCAGUAGGGAAUCUUCCGCAAUGGGCGAAAGCCUGACGGAGCAACGCCGCGUGAGUGAUGAAGGUCUUCGGAUCGUAAAACUCUGUUAUUAGGGAAGAACAAAUGUGUAAGUAACUAUGCACGUCUUGACGGUACCUAAUCAGAAAGCCACGGCUAACUACGUG